rnacentral:rRNA from 1 species
GAGUUUGAUCAUGGCUCAGAACGUACGCUGGCGGCACGCCUAAUACAUGCAAGUCGAACGAAGUAGCAAUACUUAGUGGCAGACGGGUGAGAAACAUGUAGGUAUCUACCCUUUGGCCUGGAAUAACACGAGGAAACUUGUGCUAAUACCGGAUAAGUCUUUACGGAGAAAGCUUUAUGCACCAUUGGAUGAGCCUGCACUUGAUUAGUUGUUGGUGGGGUAAUGGCCUACCAAGACAAUGAUCAAUAGCUGAUUUGAGAGGAUGAUCAGCC